rnacentral:rRNA from 1 species
CCCUUAGAUGUCCUGGGCCGCACGCGCGCUACACUGAUGCAUUCAACAAGUUCUACCUUGGCCGAGAGGCCUGGGCAAUCUUGUUAACGUGCAUCGUGAUAGGGAUAGAUUAUUGAAAUUAUUAAUCUUGAACGAGGAAUUCCUAGUAAACGCAGAUCAUCAAUCUGCAUUGAUUACGUCCCUGCCCUUUGUACACACCGCCCGUCGCACCUACCGAUUGGAUGGUCCGGUGAAGCCUCGGGAUUGUGGUUCUUGCCGCUUUAUUGUGGCGUGACCGCGAGAACUUGUCUAAACCUUAUCAUCUAGAGGAAGGUGAAGUCGUAACA